GUCGAGGGGCAGCGGGGAGGUAGCAAUACUUCCGCCGGCGACCGGCGCACGGGUGAGUAACACGUAUGGAACCUGCCCGUAGCAGGGGGAUAAGCGGAAGAAAUUCCGUCUAAUACCGCGUAAUAACUCCGAGAGGCAUCUCUUGGGGUUUAAAGGGUAACACCGGCUACGGAUGGCCAUGCGGCGCAUUAGCUAGUUGGCGGGGUAACGGCCCACCAAGGCGACGAUGCGUAGGGGUUCUGAGAGGAAGGUCCCCCACACUGGUACUGAGACACGGACCAGACUCCUACGGGAGGCAGCAGUGAGGAAUAUUGGUCAAUGGGCGCGAGCCUGAACCAGCCAAGUCGCGUGAGGGAAGACGGUCCUAUGGAUUGUAAACCUCUUUUGUCGGGGAGUAAAAGGCGCCACGUGUGGCGUUCCGAGAGUACCCGAAGAAAAAGCAUCGGCUAACUCCGUGCCAGCAGCCGCGGUAAUACGGAGGAUGCGAGCGUUAUCCGGAUUUAUUGGGUUUAAAGGGUGCGCAGGCGGAAGAUCAAGUCAGCGGUAAAAUUGAGAGGCUCAACCUCUUCGAGCCGUUGAAACUGGUUUUCUUGAGUGAGCGAGAAGUAUGCGGAAUGCGUGGUGUAGCGGUGAAAUGCAUAGAUAUCACGCAGAACUCCGAUUGCGAAGGCAGCAUACCGGCGCUCAACUGACGCUCAUGCA
rnacentral:rRNA from 1 species